GUGAGGAAUAUUGGUCAAUGGACGCGAGUCUGAACCAGCCAAGUAGCGUGAAGGAUGACUGCCCUAUGGGUUGUAAACUUCUUUUAUAAGGGAAUAAAGUGAGGGACGUGUCCCUUUUUGUAUGUACCUUAUGAAUAAGGAUCGGCUAACUCCGUGCCAGCAGCCGCGGUAAUACGGAGGAUCCAAGCGUUAUCCGGAUUUAUUGGGUUUAAAGGGAGCGUAGGUUGACAUAUAAGUCAGCUGUGAAAGUUUACGGCUCAACCGUGAAAUUGCAGUUGAUACUGUAUGUCUUGAGUGUACAAGAGGUGGGCGGAAUUCGUGGUGUAGCGGUGAAAUGCUUAGAUAUCACGAAGAACUCCAAUUGCGAAGGCAGCUCACUGGGGUACAACUGACACUGAGGCUCGAAAGUGUGGGUAUCAAACAGGAUUAGAAACCCUGGUAGUCC
rnacentral:rRNA from 1 species